rnacentral:lncRNA from 1 species
UUUAAGCAAUAGAUACUGAUUUAAAUAUAUUAAUUAGAUUAAUUAAUAAUUUACUAUCAUUAAAAUUUAAAUUUAGACUUUAAUUAAUCUUGUUCUCAUCUAGGAACAAACUUGUUCCAGGAAAAAUGUGGAACAUCAGUUCCAGCCAGUUCCAGCCAUAUACCAGCUAGUUCUAGAAAUCCGGGAACUACUGUUCUCGGAUACCAAACGCUGCGUUUAGGAACAAAAGGGGGAACAAGGGCUUAUUCUCCCCCUUAUUCCCGA